UACAGAGGGGGCAAGCGUUGUUCGGAAUUACUGGGCGUAAAGGGCGCGUAGGCGGCCUUCUAAGUCGAACGUGAAAUCCCCGGGCUCAACCUGGGAACUGCGUCCGAUACUGGCAGGCUUGAAUCCGGGAGAGGGAUGUGGAAUUCCAGGUGUAGCGGUGAAAUGCGUAGAUAUCUGGAGGAACACCGGUGGCGAAGGCGGCAUCCUGGACCGGUAUUGACGCUGAGGCGCGAAAGCUAGGGGAGCAAACGGG
rnacentral:rRNA from 1 species